rnacentral:rRNA from 1 species
UAGAGUUUGAUCCAUGGCUCAGGACGAACGCUGGCGGCGUGCCUAAUACAUGCAAGUCGAGCGGACAGAAGGGAGCUUGCUCCCGGAUGUUAGCGGCGGACGGGUGAGUAACACGUGGGUAACCUGCCUGUAAGACUGGGAUAACUCCGGGAAACCGGAGCUAAUACCGGAUAGUUCCUUGAACCGCAUGGUUCAAGGAUGAAAGACGGUUUCGGCUGUCACUUACAGAUGGACCCGCGGCGCAUUAGCUAGUUGGUGAGGUAACGGCUCACCAAGGCGACGAUGCGUAGCCGACCUGAGAGGGUGAUCGGCCACACUGGGACUGAGACACGGCCCAGACUCCUACGGGAGGCAGCAGUAGGGAAUCUUCCGCAAUGGACGAAAGUCUGACGGAGCAACGCCGCGUGAGUGAUGAAGGUUUUCGGAUCGUAAAGCUCUGUUGUUAGGGAAGAACAAGUGCAAGAGUAACUGCUUGCACC